CUACGGAGGAUCCAAGCGUUAUUCGGGAUCACUGGGCGUAAAGAGUACGUAGGCGGUUUGGUAAGUCAGGUGUGAAAUCCCGAAGCUCAACUUCGGAACUGCAUCCGAUACUGCCAGACUAGAGUAAUGGAGAGGCAGGUGGAAUUCUCGGUGUAGCAGUGAAAUGCGUGGAUAUCGAGAGGAAGACCAAUGGCGAAGGCAGCCUGCUGGACAUUUACUGACGCUGAGGUACGAAGGCUAGGGGAGCGAAAGGGAUUAGAAACCCGAGUAGUCC
rnacentral:rRNA from 1 species